AUCACUUCUUGGCCUUCUGGCUAAGAUCAAGUGUAGUAUUGUUCUUAUCAGUUUAAUAUCUUAUAUGGAUAAAAAAUAUGUGGUAUUUUUAUGUGAUAUAGUGCUACUCAGU
rnacentral:snRNA from 1 species